UUAAGUGCAAAGAAUAUUAUUUACUCUUUAUCCUUUCAUCUCAGCAAUCCAAAGACAAGUCAUGUCCAUCUGUAGAAGAGAAUCCAUCCACUUCCAGGUCCUCUCCGAAUGACACGCCGCAGCAAUCCAAAGAAAAGCUAAGUCCAUCUGCAGAAGAGAAUCCAUCUAGGUCCUCUCCAGAAGACACAUCUCAGCAAUCCAAAGAAAAGCCAAGUCCAUCUGCAGAAGAGAAUCCAUCCACUUCCAAGUCCUCUCCAGAUGACACAAAUCAG